rnacentral:lncRNA from 1 species
CUCGGCGGCACGCGUCGAACCGUCGGCCGCCGACAAGUAGACAGAGAGCGGCGUGGGCGGCCAUGGCACGAGGCCCACGGUGCCUGGAUGAACGUCCUCGAUGGCCUGCAACGCUGUCCAAAACGGGACGUAGAUAGCGCACACGGUCGCCACCGACGCCCAGCCGGCACCGGGAGGCAAGAGGUUGGCCUCUUUGGUGAGCACUCUCAAAAAGGUGCGAUCACGUGCGGUCACGGGUCCCCCUUGUGCUGCACACGACUGCAGACGCGCCGUGGCGAGCGCGAGCGCCGCCGAGGAGGCAUUGUCUGUGCGAUCGGUGACCUUUUCGAUGGUUUCGCAGUCGACGCCGCCAUCAGCGGGAUCGCCAUGAGGGGCACGGUCCUCGACGACGGGAACAUCCUGCGGCUCUCUCAUGUGCCUUUUCCCCCUUUGCGCGGCACAGUCUUGGGGCGCCCUGCCGUUCUUGCGGCCUCUUUCUGUCGGAAGGGCGGUGUCAUGGGGCCACGGCCCCCACAGUACCACCGCCCACGGGCGUCCCCCUUUGUGGUGUCCCCUUUGCCUUUUAUGGGAUUCGCGAGACUCUUGCUGGGCGCGCCACCAGAGGCGGGCCUCUGCGCCAUUGCAGCCGCCCCCCCCCUGCUGCGCUAGAGGACCUCGCAGCCAAAAACACCCCCCUCAGAAUCCCGCCUCUGCUGUAAAAAAAAAGAGACAAAAAAGGCGUCUGCACGUCACAAAAA